AGUUAACAUUUUUUUUAUUCGCAAAAUUAUUGUGUUUGUGAUAUGAUUGUCGUCAUAAUAAUAUAUGUCCCCAAAAUAACUAUACGACACUCAGUGUCUUCCAAUAACCGGAGCCCUGGAUCUUUUCGUCUUAUUCGGUGUCCACUUCCAGUGACGUUCGCAGAGGUGGUUAUAUUGGCUUAAAACGAUGGUGAGAGUUUAUUUAGAUAUUUUGUAUUAACAUAAAUUACAAGCGAAAAAAACUCGAUUUAUUGAAUAUAUAUGGAUUUUUUUUUUGUUGAAAAAUCUGGUUUUUAAAUUCUCAAUAUCGCGUUGGAAAUCACAGAAGAAAAUUAUGCGAUUCAUUGAUAAAUCGAUAUAAUUAUUAUAUAAUAAUAUAAUAAUAUUAUAAAUAAAAUAAUUAACGAUAUAAUAAUUCCUGGCCACGCUAACGGCCGUUUUUAACCGUUCUAAAUAGAUGUCACUGUUUGCCAUCCGUCUGGCGUUUUUAUCGGCAUUUUUUCAGGCCUUAUUCCCCGCUGGCCUCCAUCUCGAUCGCUGCCCUUACUUUGCCUUUAUACCGUUUCCAGGUCUCUCCGCAUAAUAUAUUACGGCGUGUUAGUCAAGCCCCCGUGAAGUCUUUGACACCUCGCACAUUGACGGGGCCGCACCUUCGUCAUUUCCCGCGCGUGUCCCCGUUUUUCUUUUUCCACCAACGAUAUACGCCGGCAGUUUAACCCGUUUCCCGAAAUAACGUUUGCGCUAACAAUUAUGAUAUUGCAUCGCCGCCGUGAUGUCUUGCUAUUAACAUUGUUCGUGAACAAUGUGUUUAGCGGCGCGUAAAUUUUCGCAGUCCCGGACGGUCGUCGAGGAAUAUUGAGAAAAAAAAAAUAAUAAUAAAACGUCGGCCCCUUUCGGGCCGAAACGACCGAAAGUUCGGUUUUGUAUGCUCGCACAGUAUUAUAUUUUGUAGAGGACUUUUUAAAGUUUACGUCUAAAUGCCAACGGUUUUCGACACGUUGCCCGCGUUAAAUUCGGAAAAAGAGAGCGAAAAAAAAAACUACCAGUUUAUAAAUAUUUUGUACGUGAUGCGCGCAGUGUUUCUAUAUAAUAUGUAUGCCGUCUUUUUCACCGUACCUAUAUAUAUAUAUAUAAAGAAAAUACAAACACUUAAUAACUUUUCGAAAUAAUGUUAUAUUGGCACCCGUAAGAUAAACACGUAUCCGCGUGUUAUACGCGGGAGUACAAUAUUGACUCUCCGAAACGAGCAUUCUGGGUUUAUAUAUAUCAUUAUUUUCCGUUGCUAGUCGAACGUUGGUGAUCAUGAGUCUCCACGAUAAAUCCGUCAAACAUACAUUGUUAUUAUGCAUAAAUAUACUGCGCCUUUUUUUUUUAUCCUACACCGGUGAUAUACUUAACAUUCCCCACUCCUUACGCAAAUAUUGCUCAGUUCUCCUGCACGAGCUAGGUCUGUUAUAACCCAGGCUGAUCGAAGAACAAACAACAACAUAUAGUUCUUUAAAAAUCUUACUGGCGGUUCUGUUGGUGCCCCGUCGUUUCUUUGCCUUUUAAACCUUCGUGUCCCUUCACGUUCAGCCCGCUUUAUCGCUCCGUUUUCUUUUCCUAAAGGCCCUUCUGAUUACAAUUGGAAUAAUCUGAUUGACCGAUUAAUGCGUCUAUAGACAACGCCCACCCUUCAUUUCUGUUGUAAUAUUACCUAGGUUACUAAGUUCCGUCUCGCUUCUACCGAACUCGUAUUAUUUGUAAACAUUUACUAUUGUACUUUGGACCAAACCCGUAUUUACAUGAAAUAAAAUUAAAUUAAACAAAAAACGCUAUCGGGUGUGCCACUGUUUUAAGAGGGAAGCCGGAAACAUUGAAGAGAAAUUUAAUUUAUGUAUACGUGGCGGAAAACCGGACGGAGGAUUAUCGACGGCGGUUUUGUACCCUGUAGCCGAGCCGUUAAUUCAAAAAUAUUAUACAAAAACCAUAUAAUACCAACAACAAUUGUCAUCAGUUAAUACUUCCGUUUUCAUUUAGAAAACUGCGACGACUACCUCCCUCUUUGAUCGGAUAAAAAAUACAACGGGGAAAUGUCUAUACGGGAAUUUUCGAUCGAAACCGAUAUUGAUCUCUGGCGAAAAAAUCGUUUAUUGACGCGAAAAACGAAAAUAAAAACACGUCGUAGUAAAACCGACGGUACAAUCCUGUUUUAGUUUUUUUUUUUACGUCUCAUCAUUACUUCGUACACCCACUUCCGAGUGUAAAAUUCUAACCGCGCACUACUACUACUACUAAUGUAGGUAAUAUUAUACACUAAUACUACUACCGCCACUAAUACGCUCGGCGACCAUAAAACCCCAAUUAACCUUUUAAUUUAAAAUGUUAAUGUCGCCGCCGCCGUAUUUAACUUAACCUUUGGGGUAAUAACUUUUACGUCCUGCGGCAUUUCGGGUUGACGGCGUUUCUUUCCCACCGCGUGCGUAUAUAUAGUCUCCCCGCCAUACGUUAAUUUCGCGACAGUAUUCCGAGCGCGUUUCUCUGUAGGGUCGUUCGCCGCCGUAUUCCCGCGCCUUAUCCGCGACGUUGUUGGGAUUUUUUUUCGCAUUUUUUUUUUUUCACGUAUUAUUUAGUUUUAUAACACUACGCAGGCAGUUAAGUUUCAACGGCGGUAGCGGCGAUUCGUAAGCGGUAUUGCAGUCAUAGUGUAAUUAAGAACAACACUAAGUUCCGGGUUUUUUUUGUUUUUUAAUUUGUUACAAUAAUAUAAUACGCGUAAUGCAAUAUUAAAGGGCGCGCGUAAUACGUGAAGUCGUUUAUUACAACUGUUAUCUCAACGAAAACGGCCACUCGCCUUUAUGUUUUUUUUUUUUUUUUUUUUAACUGCAUAUUAAAACGAUAUUAUUGUCCUCGGCAAGGGAAAGCAAAUAAUAUUAUGUCGAGGAAUGUAAUUUUAUUUUUAUUUUUAUAAUCGAUCCAUAAAAAUACGUCUCAUGUUUAUCAACUACAUAUCACAGUUUUUCCUACGGAAACCACAUGGUUACAUUUUUUCGCGUUACAAUUAAAGCGUCUCGCAAAUGCUUGACUGAUCCCCGGAUCAAAAACAUAUUAUUUGUGUACAAACCCAGUAUUUCCUAUGAAUACAUGCAAUUUAAUCAUGAAAAUGAUAUGGGUUAGAGUUGAAAAGCCCCCAAAAGGCACCGCCUCACAGAUGUACAAAAAUUUCAUAUCCCUGGAUUCAUUCGGAAAAUCUGUAUAAAAAAAGAAAAAAAACACUUUCGACACUUCAACACAUCUAAAAAACAACUUUCAUUCCCGAGUUUUAGCUCAUGUGUGGUUCGGAAGGAUGUCUAGUAAGUAAAGAAAGUAGCGGAAAAAAAACAUAAUACCAGUAGCAGAUCUAAUAUUCAUAUAAAGGGGGUGCGAUCUAAGUGUGCUGUGGGUACUGAAAAAAAAAUUCUCAAGGUGUGUUUUAAAAUGUGUAUGAUUUAAAUACACAUAAUAUAUACUCAUAUUGUUUGCGUUCAAACGUUCACCUCUGGAUCCCUCUCCUCUCGGUCAAGAUCGUCUCCCCUCCUCUUAAAUCCACUACUGCUCAAUACAGAGCAAUAGUAUCUCUACAAUCCGGGAGAAUACAAUGAAAACAUUUUUCCGAUGAAUACAUUACUUUAAUACUGUACAGUAAAAAAAUAGAUUAAACCAGACAAAAACAAAAAUCCAACCGAAACGUAUUUACGACCUCAUUAAAUGCGAAAGGGGUUUAUUCUGUGCGCGUGUGACAAACGAUAGAACUUGGUGUUUUUUAUUUUCACGAGUGUUCUUUCGGAAUUAUUUUUAUACUACCUACUCCUCUACGCACAUUAUUUAUCGUUUCGGAUUAUUAUUUUUAGCCGGAGUGUGCAUAUACCUAGCCGAAUAUAACCGUCCGGUUUUAUAUCUCGAAAGUGUACAGCGUUGGAAUCGUCGCGGUCGUGACUAUAUCGAUUACGCACCCUACCCCCUCUCCAUUAUCCCCAUUAUCCAUUAUCCCUAUUAUCCCUCCACUCUCCGACGGAUGCAGACGCGGUGCGUACAGCUGCCGCAGCACAGGUGAACGCGGAAAAAAUACGAGUAUAAAGUGGCAAUAAAAAUCGCGGGUUUUGGCGACGGAGGGAGGGCAGGAGGGAAAUAAAUGAAUUAUGUAGAGGGAAAACAGAAACGCGUGUUUGUCGCGGGGCUUUUAAGCGAUUUUAAGUGGGCGAGGAAGUUUAGCUGGUACCUAUAAUAAAUAUACGAGACCGGGAAAUAAAGACAUUACGCGAGGACCUGGAAUUUCGAUCGAAUCUUUGUUCUUGCAGUCGAUAGCGCUGUGACAAUACUUGCGUGUACGGCGGAAAAGGAUCGGAGAAAAAAAAAGUAUAUUACACGCGCUGCGGGGAUGAAAUAUCUAAAGCAUUUAUUGUAAUCCGGGGAUUCAAACGGAUUUUUAUGGCGUUUUGGAUGAAUCGGAAGACGACGGGACGAACGUCGGCCUCCCGUCGGAGAAUCGGCAAAUAAUAAAACGAUGAAACCGCGUUUUUAAAAAGAAAUAAUAAUAAUAUAGUAGAGCGGGGGAAAACUUUGUACGAGUGACGCUGUGCGCUGUAUAUUAUUAUUAUUAUUAUAUACGGUGGAAGCAAAUGAAACGGAUUUUUUUUUUUCCAUCGUUCGGUCCGCUGGGAAUGAGAAAUGCCGGGCAGCGAAGACGGUGUAUGUGUGUGUGUGUUUGAGGGAGGGCGAGAGAAAUCCGGAGGGAAAAAAGCAAAUAAGAAUAAUCGCCUUGCAUUCUUUUAUGGGGUAAAAAGAAACUUUUCUAUUCUUUAAACUUUCAACUUUUCCACUCGUAUACAAUAAAUUUCUGCUCUCUUGCCCACCGCCACCUCCGCCGAUCGAACUGGGUCACGUGUACGUACGUAUGCGCGCCACGAGGCAUACCUAUUAUACAUGUGUAUAUGAUAAAAACUUUAAAAUAUUCGGGUAAAUUUCGAUUUUCCAGAGAACCCUGAGUAUUGUAUUAUUUCCCCGUAGACGGAGUCGGCAAUCUGUUUAAACGCGGAUAUUAUAUAAUAUACGUAUAUGCAGAUAUAGAGACGAUAAUAUAACGAUAUAGAGACAGUGCGAGAAUGGGAGACGGUCAAAGCAUAUUAUACCGACAAAAUAUACUGAUAUCUUCUCGUAGAAGUAUUAUAAUGUACAAUAUGAAAGUAUAGUCAAUUUAGACGUGGGCGGAUCAUUAAAAGAACAAAAACUGGGGGAAAAAGUUUAUAUUUUCUUGUUUUUUUUUUAUUUUAGGUUUAAGCUUAAUCGACAUGCCCGGG